rnacentral:rRNA from 1 species
UGAACUUAAGCAUAUCAAUAAGCGGAGGAAAAGAAACCAACAGGGAUUGCCCUAGUAACGGCGAGUGAAGCGGCAACAGCUCAAAUUUGAAAUCUGGCUUCGGCCCGAGUUGUAAUUUGUAGAGGAAGCUUUUGGUGAGGCACCUUCUGAGUCCCCUGGAACGGGGCGCCAUAGAGGGUGAGAGCCCCGUAUAGUCGGAUGCCGAUCCAAUGUAAAGCUCCUUCGACGAGUCGAGUAGUUUGGGAAUGCUGCUCAAAAUGGGAGGUAAAUUUCUUCUAAAGCUAAAUACCGGCCAGAGACCGAUAGCGCACAAGUAGAGUGAUCGAAAGAUGAAAAGCACUUUGAAAAGAGGGUUAAAUAGCACGUGAAAUUGUUGAAAGGGAAGCGUUUGUGACCAGACUUGCGCCGUCCCGAUCAUCCGGUGUUCUCACCGGUGCACUCGGGACGGCUCAGGCCAGCAUCGGUUUCGGCGGGGGGACAAAGGUCCGGGGAACGUAGCUCCUCCGGGAGUGUUAUAGCCCCGGGCGUAAUGCCCUCGCCGGGACCGAGGUUCGCGCAUCUGCAAGGAUGCUGGCGUAAUGGUCACCAACGACCCGUCUUGAAACACGGACCAAGGAGUCAAGGUUUUGCGCGAGUGUUUGGGUGUAAAACCCGCACGCGUAAUGAAAGUGAACGUAGGUGAGAGCUUCGGCGCAUCAUCGACCGAUCCUGAUGUAUUCGGAUGGAUUUGAGUAAGAGCGUUAAGCCUUGGACCCGAAAGAUGGUGAACUAUGCUUGGAUAGGGUGAAGCCAGAGGAAACUCUGGUGGAGGCUCGCAGCGGUUCUGACGUGCAAAUCGAUCGUCAAAUCUGAGCAUGGGGGCGAAAGACUAAUCGAACCAUCUAGUAGCUGGUUACCGCCGAAGUUUCCCUCAGGAUAGCAGUGUUGUUCUUCAGUUUUAUGAGGUAAAGCGAAUGAUUAGGGACUCGGGGGCGCUUUUUAGCCUUCAUCCAUUCUCAAACUUUAAAUAUGUAAGAAGCCCUUGUUACUUAAUUGAACGUGGGCAUUCGAAUGUACCAACACUAGUGGGCC